AGCCCCCUCCCCAAAUUCUAGCCCACUCGUCUAGAGGAAGAAAAUCACUGAAUGUGCAGGAUGAGUGCACUGGUGGAGUUUUCGAAAGCCCCACAGGUGAUACUAGAUGCACGCACACACAGGAACACACAUCUUGUGAGUCCGAGACUAAACAGGUCAACCCGACGUUCUCUCUCUGACCCUCCUCUCCUUCCGUAGCUACUCUUUGUAAAGGUCUCCGCGUUCUCUUCAGCUUCCCUUUACGGCCCCCUAGCUCGGGGGCUUUGUGGAGUCCCCCAAAGUCCUGGAACCCCGCGGGACGGUCAGACGCUUUGGCGGCCAGACGUUAGAAAAAGUGUCCCCGCUCUUUGCCGCCCUUGUGCACCCUGGAGCGCGAACUGAAUACCAAAGAGCCAUUUGAGAUAGAACUGAGAACAGGAAGCCCACUGUCUCAGAGAACUGGACCAAGGAUGGUGCUCCCCAAGCAACGGAGGGCUUCAGGGAGUCGGAGCGGUGGGGGAGCAAAGGCAGGAGCCAAUACCCCUUGUGUUCCAGGCUGGCAUCAGCAAGCAGUGACUGGGAUCUUAGUUCCCUCACCAGGGAUCAAACCCAUGCACCCUGAAUUGGAAGCACGGAGUCUUAACCACUGGACUGCCAGGAAAGUCCCCUGAGAACCAGUUUUAAUGAGAUACUUCUUGCUAACUCUAUCAGCUAUCUGGCAAUAUGAAGCUGUCUACAAGAAGACAAAUCACAAGGAAAUAGUACUUUCUGAAUGGGGUCAGUUUCUUUAUCUGCUGGGACCAGAGUCAACCCCUUUCCCAACUGAAGUUACUCUGAGCCAAAAGAAGCUGCCCGUCUGUUCUUAUGUGGAAACUUCUCCAUAGCCCGUGAAAUGGGUCUGAGCCUUAUGGCCAUGACUGCUGCACUUCUAUUUAUUAUCAGAAUUGGAUGCUGAACAUUUUCUUCUUGCUUCUGUUGGCUAAGAGCAGCCCUACCGCCUCCUUAUAACUGAGCCAGUUACCUGCCAGGACAGUGAUGCCUUGCCUUGCCUACUGAUCUCUUGACACAAGGAGUCAAAAGUAACCCCCGCCAGCCAUAGUUAAAAAUUUAAUGGGAACCUUGCUGGGUCCUCUGUUGGAAGCCCUUCUCUCUGAAAAACAGAACCCUUAAAUCCAUAAAGCUCAGAGUUAUGGGGAUGGGAAACACAAAUUUCACAAGUGGGUGGCUAGGAGUGAUGGUGAGUGGGCGAUUCCUAAUUCUGCCCCUUGGUUUCUGGACCCAUGUAUUCUACCUACUGAGGACACAGCACCAUGUUAUGGCAGUUGGUUUACAGCUUUCAAAUUUUUAGUCUCAGGACCCCUUUAUACUCUUAAAAAUUAUUGAGGACCCCCACAGAGCUUUUGUUUAUGUGGGUGAUAACUAUUAAUAUUGUAUUAGAAUUCAAAACUGAGAACAUUUUGAAAUGCUCCUUUUCAUUUGAAGAUAACAAUGAGGAACACACAGCAGGUUAACAGAAAUAACAUCUUAGCAUAAUUAUUACGAAAUUACUUUUGACCUGGUGGAACUCUGAGAUCCAUCCUAAAAUGUCAGAUUGUUCCAGAAUAUGAAGGAGAAUGAUAAGGGACAAAUUUGGUAAGUGAAUUUUACUUGCUUUGGCUUAUAACACUUGAAUCUUAAAAGAAGCUAUGGAAUGUGUUAAAAUGUUGGUAAAGUUUGAUCCACUUUAAUGGGCUUUGCCUCCUUGAUUAACUGAUGAAUGCCUUUGCCAACAAUAUGAAGGGUUAUUCUUCACUUUCUGUGUAAUCUACCUACAUAGCAAAAAUACUUUAUGUUAGCUUUGUUAUAUCCUUGAUUAUUUAAGAAAAAAGAAUCUCAGUUAUAAAAGAAGUUACAUGUACUUUAUAAUCAUUUUACUUUCUAUUUUUUUCAAUAAAAUUUUUUUUAUUGCUAUUUUGAUUAAAUAGCUAACUAUCGUUUUUCAGGCACCCAUGAUCCCAUCUUUGAUCAAAUGUCCAAAUCUCCUCUAACAACUUUUUUGAUUUUUGCAUUCCCCAAAUCAGAUCCAAACAUAGAAAUACCGAAAUAAAGAAAGAAAAAAAGAGAACGUUUCAGUAUAUCUUUUACACUGAAAUCUAUUUUGACAUUUCCCAGAGGGCACCCCCAAAAUCACAAAGAUUUGUGUUCUGUCACCUUAUAAAAAGAGAGAUGCUAGAAAUAAUUUGGGGUUUUUUGAUAUGUUACUAUUUUGUAAAGUUUCAUGGAAAAAAUUGUCAAAUCAGAAGAGACACACAGCCUUCCCUUGGUUAAAUUUGGGUAGGUAAAACCUUAUUAAUAUAAAGAUUUCAGAAAGUAUAUGAUUCAUGGGAAGUCCCUGGAUGUUUGCCAGUGUCCUCACUUUCCAUAAUAUAUUUUAACUUCAGAGGAAACACUGAGUAGACUCUGUUUAGUUUUCCUAUAUUUGUCAGAAUCCUUGUGGUGCUUUGCCUAAAGUUAGACAGCAACAGUAGUAUAGUGUUAUCCAUCAUUUCAGUUACUGUUUAAAGUAUUA